UACGUAGGGAGCAAGCGUUGUUCGGAUUUACUGGGCGUAAAGGGCGCGUAGGCGGCAAAUUAAGUCAGCUGUGAAAUCUCCGAGCUUAACUCGGAACGGUCAGCUGAUACUGAUCUGCUAGAGUGCGGAAGGGGCAAUCGGAAUUCUUGGUGUAGCGGUGAAAUGUGUAGAUAUCAAGAGGAACACCUGAGGUGAAGACGGGUUGCUGGGCUGACACUGACGCUGAGUGCGCGAAAGCCAGGGGAGCAAACGGG
rnacentral:rRNA from 1 species